rnacentral:rRNA from 1 species
CCCUUAGAUGUUCUGGGCCGCACGCGCGCUACACUGAUGCAUUCAACGAGUCUAAAACCUGCUCUGAUAGGGGUGGGUAAUCUUUUGAAUGUGCAUCGUGAUUGGGAUAGAUGAUUGCAAUUUUUCAUCUUCAACGAGGAAUGCCUAGUAAACGCAAGUCAUCAGCUUGCAUUGAUUACGUCCCUGCCCUUUGUACACACCGCCCGUCGCUGCAACUGAUUGGGUGACCUGGUGAACAUCUUGGACCGGUCCACUCAAUUUCGAGAGGACUGGAAAAGGCCGUAAAUCAGGUACAUCUAGAAAUUGCAAAAGUCGUAACA